GACGGUGGAUUGUAAUGAGUGCAAUUUAAAACACUAAACGAGGAACGAUUGGAGGGCAAGUCUGGUGCCAGCAGCCGCGGUAAUUCCAGCUCCAAUAGCGUAUAUKAAAGUUGUUGCAGUUAAAAAGCUCGUAGUUGAAUUUCUAAUCAGUUAUUAAGGAGUUUACUUCUUAAUAGUUGGUUAUCCGACAAUGAACCAUGUCGGUUAUUAAGUUAACCCCAUGGAGAACUGUCAUUUUACUUUGAAAAAAUUAGAGUGUUUCAGGCAGGCAAUUGCCCGAAUAUCUUAGCAUGGAAUAAUGGAAUAGGACUUGGGUUCAUUUUAUUGGUUAUUGAAUCUAAGUAAUGAUUMAUAGGGACAGUUGGGGGCAUUAGUAUUUAAUUGUCAGAGGUGAAAUUCUUGGAUUUAUUAAAGACUAACUUAUGCGAAAGCAUUUGCCAAGGAUGUUUUCAUUAAUCAAGAACGAAAGUUAGGGGAUCAAAGACGAUCAGAUACCGUCCUAGUCUUGACUAUAAACUAUACCGACUCAGGAUUGGCCAUUUUAUAACUUGGUCAGCACUGUAUGAGAAAUUAAAGUCUUUGGGUUCUGGGGGGAGUAUGGUCGCAAGGCUGAAACUUAAAGGAAU
rnacentral:rRNA from 1 species